UCUGCCCCUAGAGGCUUUGCAGGUGUGGUUGCUAUGUCACAUGUGAAUCAAUACCUGGCAGAAAGGAGAGAGGCUAUGUCUACGCUUAGUGUUCUGACCUGUGAACACCAGAAUGAUAAGUAGCCUAAUAAU
ensembl:snoRNA LOC120101293 small nucleolar RNA SNORA17